UACGUAGGUGGCAAGCGUUGUCCGGAUUUACUGGGCGUAAAGAGCGCGCAGGCGGUCGCUCAAGUCGCGUGUGAAAGCCCCCGGCUCAACUGGGGAGGGUCACGCGAUACUGAUCGACUGGAAGGCAGGAGAGGGUAGUGGAAUUCCCGGUGUAGUGGUGAAAUGCGUAGAUAUCCGGAGGAACACCAGUGGCGAAGGCGACUUCCUGGCCUGUUCUUGACGCUGAGGCGCGAAAGCGUGGGGAGCAAACAGG
rnacentral:rRNA from 1 species